GGAACCUACGUGGACGAUUCUGGGAAGUGUGUGCCGCUGAAGGACUGUCCGUGCUUUGACAAGGGCUCUGUGGUUCCUCCUGGUCAGGUCAUAAACAAGGACGGGGCCAUGUGCACCUGUAAGGAAGGUAAACUCAGCUGCAUCGGACAGAUUGAAGAUCAGCCGUCGGCCUGUACUCCUCCCAUGCUGUUCUUCAACUGUUCCUCUGGUGGCCCCGGGG